rnacentral:rRNA from 1 species
UUAAGUCCCGCAACGAGCGCAACCCCUAUUGCUAGUUGCCAUCACAUAAUGGUGGGCACUCUAGUGAGACUGCCCGGGUCAACCGGGAGGAAGGUGGGGACGACGUCAAGUCAUCAUGGCCCUUACGUCCAGGGCUACACACGUACUACAAUGGUGGAUACAGAGGGUCGCGAAGCCGCGAGGUCGAGCCAAUCCCAGAAAAUCCAUCCCAGUCCGGAUCGCAGUCUGCAACUCGACUGUGUGAAGUUGGAAUCGCUAGUAAUCCCAGAUCAGCAUGCUGGGGUGAAUACGUUCCCGGGCCUUCUACACACCGCCCGUCACACCACGAAAGCUGGUUCUACCCAAAAUCGACGGACUAA